CCUACGGGCGGCAGCAGUGAGGAAUAUUGCUCAAUGGGCGCGAGCCUGAACCAGCCAAGUCGCGUGAAGGAUGACUGCCCUACGGGUUGUAAACUUCUUUUAUAAAGGAAUAAAGUGAGGCGCGUGUGCCUUUUUGUAUGUACUUUAUGAAUAAGGAUCGGCUAACUCCGUGCCAGCAGCCGCGGUAAUACGGAGGAUCCGAGCGUUAUCAGGAUUUAUUGGGUUUAAAGGGAGCGUAGAUGGGUUGUUAAGUCAGUUGUGAAAGUUUGCGGCUCAACCGUAAAAUUGCAAUUGAUACUGGCAGGCUUGAGUACAGUUGAGGUAGGUGGAAUUCGUGGUGUAGCGGUGAAAUGCUUAGAUAUCACGAAGAACUCCGAUUGCGAAGGCAGCUUACUAAACUGCCACUGACAUUGAUGCUCGAAAGUGUGGGUAUCAAACAGGAUUAGAUACCCGGGUAGUC
rnacentral:rRNA from 1 species